rnacentral:misc_RNA from 1 species
AAGUCGUAACAAGGUUUCCGUAGGUGAACCUGCGGAAGGAUCAUUAAUGAAAUUAUGACUGGGGUUGUAGCUGGCCUAUAAAACGGCAUGUGCACGCUCCUUUCACAAUCCACACACACCUGUGCACCUUCGCGGGGGUCUUUUUUUCUCUUCGGGGGAAUCAAGGCUCGCGUCCCUUUACACACCCUUUGUAUGUCUUAAGAAUGUCUACUCGAUGUAAUAAAACGCAUCUAAUACAACUUUCAACAACGGAUCUCUUGGCUCUC